rnacentral:misc_RNA from 1 species
AAGUCGUAACAAGGUUUCCGUAGGUGAACCUGCGGAAGGAUCAUUAGUGAAACUUCACGGGCGCGUUCGUGCGCCUCGCUCCGCCGGCAACGGUGUCGAGCGAGCGCCGGACCGCCCUCCACCCCACACCCCUGUGAACCUUGCGGAGCUUGCAGUACCCCUUCCCGGGUGGAUGACGCACGGUCGUCGGGGGAGGCUCGCUUCCGUCACACACACUCAGUUAACGAACGUCACGGUCCUCAGCGGCCUUUGAUAAACAAUACAACUUUCAACAACGGAUCUCUUGGCUCUC